GCCUGCGCGGUAGUGGGACCCGACCCUGUCUCCAGUGGGCGUCUUGGGCCCCGGCUCUAUUCUGGGCUGCGGGCCUGGGAAGGGCUCGCCGGGUGCCAAAUGAGCUGUCCUAACUCUGCGGGGCUGCAGCUUCCUGCAUGAUGCUGGGGAGCUUGGCGCCUGACCCAGGAUCUAGAAGGCACUCUGGGCAGGCCGCGCUCCGCCCACGAAGGUCUGGCUUACCACACGCUCCUCCCCAUUCCCAGUGAGCCGCUUUUUGCAGCACCAGGCGAACACUUACACCAGUGCUUUGUAAAGGAAUCUUAUUGUCCACCCCGUGUCUUGGCAAAAGAACAGUGAUCACACAGAUUCCUACUUGGGCUCUUUCCUUUAAUCUUCGGAGGCUGAGUUUGCCCAACUCAGGUUUAACCACCAAGGACUCUGAGAGCUGGCAGGUCUGAGUAACCCUGGUAACAAUUCUCUUCACCUUAUCAAAACCUGAGCUAAAACCAAUGCAUCAGCUGAUGAUGACAGCAGAGAGUGGCAGGGCUGAGGACCCAAAGUCAUUUCCCAGGCUGGCGGAGAGUGAGUAAAUGAGAUUCUAAAACUAAACAAGGGAGGUCAGAGACUCUUUCCAACCUUACCUGAUGGCUUCUGGCCAAAGCAAGGAAGUGUCUUGGAAGGUGUUGGUUGGUGAUGGUGCGAA
rnacentral:lncRNA from 1 species